ensembl:snRNA U6 U6 spliceosomal RNA
GUGCUCACUUCGGCAGCGCAUAUACUGGAAUUGGAACUAUACAGAGAUUAGCAUGGCCCCUGUGCAAGGAUGACAUGCAAAUUCGUGAAGCGUUCCGUAUUUUU